rnacentral:rRNA from 1 species
CCUACGGGUGGCUGCAGUGAGGAAUAUUGGACAAUGGACGCAAGUCUGAACCAGCGACGCCGCGUGAAGGAAGACGGAUUUAGGUACGGUAAACUCUAUCAGCAGGAAAGAAAAUGACGGUACCUGACUAAGAAGCCCAGGCUAACUACGUGCCAGCAGCCGCGGUAAUACGUAGGGGGCAAGCGUUAUCCGGAUGUACUGGGUGUAAAGGGGGUGUAGACGGCUGCGCAAGUCUGUAGUGAAAUGCCGGGGCCCAACCUCGGAACUGCCUUUGAAACUGUGAAGCUGGAGAGUAGUUGGGGUAAGCGGAAUUUCUGGUGUAGCGGUGAAAUGCGUAGAGAUCAGGCGGAACACCGGUUGCGAAGGCGGCUUACCGGACU